rnacentral:rRNA from 1 species
UGGGGAAUAUUGCACAAUGGGCGAAAGCCUGAUGCAGCAACGCCGCGUGAGUGAUGAAGGUCUUCGGAUUGUAAAGCUCUGUCUUUUGGGACGAUAAUGACGGUACCAAAGGAGGAAGCCACGGCUAACUACGUGCCAGCAGCCGCGGUAAUACGUAGGUGGCAAGCGUUGUCCGGAUUUACUGGGCGUAAAGGGUGCGUAGGUGGAUAUUUAAGUCAGAUGUGAAACCCCUGGGCUCAACUCAGGGACUGCAUUUGAAACUGGAUAUCUUGAGUGCGGGAGAGGUAAGUGGAAUUCCUAGUGUAGCGGUGAAAUGCGUAGAGAUUAGGAAGAACACCAGUGGCGAAGGCGACUUACUGGACCGUAACUGACACUGAGGCACGAAAGCGUGGGUAGCAAACAGG